rnacentral:rRNA from 1 species
AGUGAACGCUGGCGGUAGGCCUAACACAUGCAAGUCGAACGGCAGCACAGUAAGAGCUUGCUCUUACGGGUGGCGAGUGGCGGACGGGUGAGGAAUACAUCGGAAUCUACUUUUUCGUGGGGGAUAACGUAGGGAAACUUACGCUAAUACCGCAUACGACCUACGGGUGAAAGCAGGGGAUCUUCGGACCUUGCGCGAUUGAAUGAGCCGAUGUCGGAUUAGCUAGUUGGCGGGGUAAAGGCCCACCAAGGCAACGAUCCGUAGCUGGUCUGAGAGGAUGAUCAGCCACACUGGAACUGAGACACGGUCCAGACUCCUACGGGAGGCAGCAGUGGGGAAUAUUGGACAAAGGGCGCAAGCCUGAUCCAGCCAUGCCGCGUGGGUGAAGAAGGCCUUCGGGUUGUAAAGCCCUUUUGUUGGGAAAGAAAAGCAGCAGGUUAAUACCCCGCUGUUCUGACGGUACCCAAAGAAUAAGCACCGGCUAACUUCGUG